CGCGCACACACACACACACACACGCGCGCGCGCACACAUACACGCGCACACACACACGCACACUUGAAGCCACUCGGAUGUGCAUCGGGAAUAUGAAUCCAAGUGUGAUCAACACAAUGUGAAGGACUAUAUUCGCAAUUACGUUGUCAGCAAUCACGCGGGGACAAAUGCGCGUGUGCAGCGACAGGCCGGGUGACUCGAACUUAAGCGGAGAAACCAGAGUUCACCUUUCACCUUCUGACCCGCGCUCAACCUCAGGACAACGAUGACCCGGUCACCGUGCACGAGACUAUUUAUUUCUACUGGGCUGAGCUCAAAGUCGGAGCUGGUUUUCUUUCGUGUUGUUUUUGUUCUCUGCACGAGUCACCUUUGUAACGUGGACCAAAGUGGCUGGAGGCUGGACCCACUUGUAAUACUGUGGAGCAACGCUGACAAAUGUAACUUGUGUAUGAAUAUUUGAUAAUAUUGAAUAUCAGCAACAACAGCAAUACAGCAAACACAACCUUGAGAGCAUCGCUUCCUUUUAUUUUAGUUGUUUCAUGUGCACUCCCUGUAUGGGCACUUGAAAAGAGGACAGCUGAAACAAAUUUAGGAUAAAAUAGGUCAUCAUUUAUUUGGCCAUGAUGUGGUACAUCAAGUCUUUCAAUAACACUUUGUGAACUUAUUUAUUGCCCACCAUUGAAAUGUGUGAUGAUAAAGAACAAGGAUGAUGUGAUUAAAUGACUCCAAACUCUCA